CUGACUUUACUGAGAUAUUUAAGAAAAUGAGUUUAUUCGAAGAUUUAGCGAUCACAUUGCUGUUUGUCCUGAUGUCUGUCUGUUUAUCUGUUCCUCUCCUUCUCCUUCCUCAAUUACAGAAUAUAUUACCAAAACAGAUUCGAAAGAUCGAAGAAGAUAUUCAAAAACCCAGUAAGAAAUCAGUUGAUAUUCAAGACACCAGGAAGAAAUCAGUUGAUAAUCAAGACACCAGAAGGAAAUCAGUUGAUAUUCAAGACACCCGUAGGAAAUCAGUAGAUAUUCAAGACAUCAGUAGGAAAUCAGUUUGUAUUCAAGACACCAUCAGGAAAUCAGUUGAUAUUCAAGACACCAGUAGGAAAUCAGUUGAUAUUAAAGACACCAGUAGGAAAUCAAUAGAUAUUCAAGACACCAGCAGGAAAUCAGUUGAUAUUCAAGACACCAGUAGGAAAUCAGUUGAUAUUCAAGACCCAAGCAGGAAAUCAGUAGAUAAUCAAGACCGAAGCAGGAAAUCAGUUGAUAUUCAAGACAUCAGUAGGAAAUCAGUAGAUAUUCACGACACCAGCAGGAAAUCAGUAGAUAUUCAAGACUCAAGCAGGAAAUCAGUUGAUGUUCAGAAAAAUAUUUCAAAACUAAAAUCAGACAAAAAACUAAAUCCCACAUCUGCAGCUUUCGAAAAUUUAAGACCUAUACUUUGCAAGAAAUCAGAAGAAAUAAGAAAAGCUGAUGCAGAGACUGACAAAAACCAUGAAUUUUGGCUGGUGGAUAAAGACAUAAUAAAAAAACAGUUUGGAAACCAUUUCCAAAAAAGAGGUAUAAAUCACCCGGAAAUAAAUGAAAAAGUUUUCCAUUCAAAACAGAAAAGAAGAUGUUCCGAACCCAACACCUUGAUCAAUACAGAGAACAGAAAAGUUAUAAAAGUAAUAAAUUUUGUUGCAAUCACACUUGGCGAAGCUGCAUCUAAACCCUCAAUUACACCUGCUAGAUCAGCACAGAAUACCUUCAAAUCAAAACAUAUUGAUUUUCCACAGAAAAGAGAAUACAAGGAGAAUAGAAUAGACUUUCGGACAGAAGAGAAAAUGUUAAAGGUUAAUAAGAAAGAAGCUGAGAAUUUACCUAAACUUUCUCCACCUCCCCCACCUUUAUAUGAUCCUAAACCAGAAACCCAGGUUCAUGGAAAAUACAAACUUAGCUUGAGCAGCACUAAACUGAACACAUCCCACAAAUUGUCAAACCCUUAUAUUUCCCUCCCCUCCUCCCCCACCUUUAUAUUAUCCUAAACCAGAAACCCAGGUUCAUGGAAAAUACAAACUUAGCUUGAGCAGCACUAAACUGAACAAAUGCCACAAACUGUCAAACCCUUAUAUUUCCCUCCCUCCUCCCCCACCCCCUAUAUGAUCCUAAACCAGAAACCCAGGUUCAUGGAAAAUACAAACUUAGCUUGAGCAGCACUAAACUGAACACAUGCCACAAACUGUCCAAUCCUUAUAUUUCCCUCCCUCCUCCCCCACCUUUAUAUGAACCUAAACCAGAAACCCAGGUUCAUGGAAAAUACAAACUUAGCUUGAGCAGCACUAAACUGAACACAUGCCACAAACUGUCAAACCCUUAUAUUUCCCUCCCUCCUCCCCCACCUUUAUAUGAUCCUAAACCAGAAACCCAGAUGUCUCCUUCUAUCCAACCAGACAUCACAAAAGAAGAUCUCAACAAUACUUUGGAAGAUAAAAUAAAAGAUAUCAGCUGUUC
rnacentral:misc_RNA from 1 species